UGAAGCUGUUCUUCUCAGAGCAGGAAGACUGUGGGUCUCACAUGACUUCAAGAUCUGAACCAUCUGAAUGAUCAUUUACACCCAUGCUAAAAUGUCCACAAGCAAUGCAGCGCUACCCCUUCAGGAUGAGCCUGUUAUCACACCCAGAAAAUCAAGAACCACAUGCUUUUCCUCUUGGAUGAAGCAGGACUUUGGUAAGAGGAGAGAUUUAAAGACAAAGGGAUUAUCAAAUAUGAAGGAACUAUUAGAUACUCUCCAAAGUAGAAUCAGUAUCAUUUGAAAGGGGACCUUUAUUUUAAAGAAAAUCAAUGAUUUAUAUAAUCUUCUGGGCUCUGGAUACAUGUGGCACUUGUGUAAAUGUAAAUUUGUUUGCUUUUCUGGUCACAGAUGGGACCUGCGUUGGGAUUUCAGCUGUUUUAGCAUGAAGAUAUAGGUCAUACAUUUUCUAAAAUUAAAAUUAUAUUCAAAAGGCCUUCCCAUCUUGCUUUCUAAAAAUUAAGACUGUAUUAUGAGCAUUGUCAUAUCAUUAAAUAUCAUUCAUUUGAAGAUUGCAUAAUAUUCCAUUAAGUGAUAGACUACAGUUUACUUAAUUGAUCUUUUUAUGUUGAUUGGUUUAAUUUCAAUAUUUUUCAUUUAUAAAUUAUAUACAAAAUAUGUCAAAUUUAGGGUCCGUUUAUGAUUGUCAUUUUUUGCAGCAACUUCCUAUAGAAAGAAUUUUUGGUGUAAGGCUAAGGACAUCAUUAAAAGUUCCUGAUAGGGCACCUGGGUGGCUCAGUGGUUGAGCAUCUGCUUUCAACUCAGGUCGUGAUCCCGGAGUCCUGGGAUCGAGUCCUGCAUUGGGAUCCCUGCGGGAAGCCUGCUUCUCCCUCUGCUUGUCUCUGCCUCUCUCUCUGUGUCUCUCAUGAAUAAAUAAAUAAAAUCUGUUUUAAAAAGUUCCUGA
rnacentral:lncRNA from 12 species